GAUGAACGCUGGCGGCGUGCCUAAUACAUGCAAGUCGAGCGAACAGACGAGGAGCUUGCUCCUCUGACGUUAGCGGCGGACGGGUGAGUAACACGUGGAUAACCUACCUAUAAGACUGGGAUAACUUCGGGAAACCGGAGCUAAUACCGGAUAAUAUAUUGAACCGCAUGGUUCAAUAGUGAAAGACGGUUUUGCUGUCACUUAUAGAUGGAUCCCCGCCGCAUUAGCUAGUUGGUAAGGUAACGGCUUACCAAGGCAACGAUGCGUAGCCGAACUGAGAGGGUGAUCGGCCACACUGGAACUGAGACACGGUCCAGACUCCUACGGGAGGCAGCAGUAGGGAAUCUUCCGCAAUGGGCGAAAGCCUGACGGAGCAACGCCGCGUGAGUGAUGAAGGUCUUCGGAUCGUAAAACUCUGUUAUUAGGGAAGAACAAAUGUGUAAGUAACUAUGCACGUCUUGACGGUACCUAAUCAGAAAGCCACGGCUAACUACGUG
rnacentral:rRNA from 1 species